CCGGAGCGUGGGCCUGUGGCUGCCCCGGCCCCAGGCCUCGCCAGGGCCGCGUCCCGCGCACCGAGUCGCUCACGUGGCAGUGGCUCCCGGUCCUUCCUAUUGACCGGUUCCUGCUGCGAGCUAAGAAGUACGCUGAGAUUUAGGGACCCAGCACCAUCCCUCGGUGCUGCACUAAGAGCCAAGGACGGACACGUUUCCCCGACAGAGAGAGUCGGGGCGCAGGGCAGCGAGUCUCAGCCAGGCCCUGCCGCAGCACCCGGGGGUGCCAGCCUGCAGGUCCGCCCGGGGAGGCGUGCGAACGGGGGGAUUCACAAGAUGGACCCAGAGACGUAGGCGCGUUAACGCACCAGCUGGCUGGGCCCAGGGACCCCUGCCUCAGUGUGGACGAAACGGGUGCGCAUGACGUGGCGCCACUGCACCCAAACCGAGCUGCGGCAGGAUCAUAAAAAGACAUUAAGUGGAAAUAGGUUCAGUACUGAAUGCUAUAGAAGACUAUGGAAGAAAAUUUUGCCUCCUCUUCUCCCUACUUAAUUAGAAGAUGGACUGAAGUGAAAAUUUAUACAAAUCUUCAAGUUUUGAUGGAUGAGGGAUCAUUCAGCACUCAGAUUCAACCCUGUUCUCAGUGAAGCCAGUGACAGUUUCAACAUUUACUUAAGUGGAAGAAAGAAAGAAGACACUUUAUUGUUUAGCUUUAUUAAUCCUUUCUCAAGUCAUUCCAUGCCUCAUCCUGAAUGAUUUAUCUGUUGUGAAAUGCUAAACAUAAAUAAAUUACUCUUAAAAGCAAUCCUAAACCAUAUAUUUAAUGCCAUGACAAUUAAGCUAAAAUAGAAAAAAGAAAAUUAACAAAUGGAGAGAUUAGGCAAAGACAAAAUAUCUCACUAAAUGUUUUUGCUUCCUCAAAGAGAUUCAGAAUCCUGGAACAAGGAAACUAGGGCAUAAAAGUACACAAAACUGAAUGUACCCAAGAUUACAAAUGACGUUCCUUCUUGGCAUGAAAGACCAAAGAUUCUGCAGCAACAACACGCUGUGCAAGUAAUACAAAUUCUAUUUCACUGCAAGCCAGAAUGUGCUCAUUCCCAUAUAAAAUCAGCUGUUAGGCUGUCAGACAUUUUACUGGCUGCAGCCAAAGACUGACAGUCCUCUGUGUGCCAGACUAAGAUAUAUUAGACAAAAUAAGCCUGGUCAAUUCUGUGUUCAUUUGAAAUGCAAAGAUAAAUCCAGGUCAGAUACUACAGAUAGAGUUUGAAAUGAAGUAUUGUAUUUGCACAUUUGUAUUGUUCUACAAUCUUUGGUGCACAGUACUUAGUUCCCCAGUGAAGGAACAGCUAACUCAACUGAAGAUAUAGGACAGAUUCUCUGUUCUGCUUGGUUUCAGAGGCAAUGCGAGAACGCUAGUUAUAGUUCUCUGAUCUUGACACUGCUGGUCUAGAGACCAGCUCCAUCAGGUUAAUACUAAAUGUGUUUCCCAUGUGAA